rnacentral:rRNA from 1 species
GAGAUUGAAAAUGCCCUUUUCAUGAUGCAUCCGAGUAAAUCUCCAGGUGUUGAUGGGUUCACGGCUGGGUUCUAUAUUAAGCAUUGGAACAUCCUGAAGAGCUCAGUAUGUCAUGCUAUCCGAGAGUUUUUUAUAACAGGAAUAUUGCCAGAUGUGGUUAAUAAUACGGUGUUGGUUCUCAUUCCCAAGAUUAAAAACCCACAGAACCUGGCUCAAUACCGACCGGUAUCUCUUUGCAACGUCUUGUAUAAGAUAAUUGCUAAGGUACUUGCUCUCAGGUUGAGGCCUUUUUUGGAAGAGAUUAUUUCGAAGGAACAAAGCGCCUUUGUCCCCGGAAGACUUAUAUCAGACAAUGUAUUAACUGCAUAUGAGUGUAUACACUACUUGAAAGGAAAAAAAGGAAAAAGUGUUGAUUGUGCGAUGAAGCUUGAUAUGACAAAGGCAUACGACCGGGUGGAGUGGUUGUAUCUAAGGGCAAUUAUGCAUAAACUAGGGUUUGCGGAGUGGUGGAUUGACAGAGUGAUGGCAUGUGUGGAAACUGUUUCAUUCUCAGUCAGAGUAAAUGGUGUCUUCUCUGAAUCCUUUAAACCAUCUAAAGGUAUACGGCAAGGGGACACCAUAUUCCCUUACCUAUUUCUGAUCUGCUCGGAAGGACUGACGUGCUUGCUGAGGAAAGUUGGAGAAGGUCAUCUAACCAGGGGAAUUAGAGUGGGAAUUCAUGCACCAUGGAUCACACAUUUGCUUUUCGCGGAUGAUUGUUUAAUCUUUACGCGGGCCACUGAAGCUGGAGCAACUAGAAUACAUGAUAUACUAGAAACGUACAGGAGGGGCUCUGGACAAUUAGUAAACAGAGCAAAAUCUGCAAUUUUCUUCAGCGCUAACUGUCCGGAUGAGGUGAAGCAGACAGUACAACAGAGGGUUGGCAUUGCGACUGAGGCACUGAGGGAGAAAUAUCUGGGACUCCCUACUGCCCUAGGGAAGUCAACAGACUCACAAUUUGAAGGUAUUGUAUCCUCCAUCAAGAAGUUCUGCAAUGGAUGGUUACCAUUGUUAUUGAACAGUGCGGGCCGAGAGGUUCUUGUAAAACCAAUCUGCCAAGCCAUACCUACCUUCUCCAUGAGCUGUUUCCGUCUAUCAAAAAACAUGUGUAAGAAGAUAAUGAGUGUACUUGCGCGGUUUUGGUGGGGAGGAGAUGACAAAAAGAGGAAAAUGCAUUGGAAGAAAUGGGCUGAUAUUGCAAUACCAAAAGGGGAAGGAGGAAUGAGAUUCAGGGACAUACAACUAUUCAAUCAGGCAAUGUUGGCAAAACAGGGCUGGAGGUUAUUAACAAAGCCUGAUUCCUUGUGUGCUAGAAUUCUGAAGGGGAAAUACUUUCACGACAGAGAUUUUAUGGAAGCUAGGAAUAAACAGAACUCAUCUCACACGUGGAGAGCAAUAUUGCACGGACGAGAACUCCUUAACAGGGGAUUAAUCAAACGUGUAGGGGAUGGAAGCAUCACUAGAAUUUGUGGAUGA